rnacentral:lncRNA from 10 species
GUGAUGAGUAGUGGAGGGUGUGUGGUACCCAUGGGAGAUGGACUGGCUUGUUCUUUGGGUCAACUGCAGCUUAUUGGAGGUGUUGAUAUGGCACUUAGGGUCUUUGCUCCCUUGAUAUAUCUUCUGAGGGUAGCAAGGGCAAUUCUACUGCAGAGGCAGUGGCAGAAAGGAUUUCAUUUGCUCCUGGAAGCUCUGUCCAAAAAACUGCUGAGUUGCUACUGGCUUGAUAGCUCCGGUGGUGGGCUGAAAUGGCUGGGUCGCCCAAAAAGCAAAGAUGACAAUCUGGUCCUCCCCCUGGCAGCCCUGACUCAGGGAAGCCUGAGACCUCUGUCAGCCAGACAACAGCAGUCAAGGUAGCCAGAGACCCUGGUUGAAAGACUUCACCCACUGACUAGAAAUGUGAUCAGGGACUGACGUAAACAAGAGUCUGGCCACGUUUUUGUAGCGUGGCUGUGCUGUGCUGAGGUACCUCUUCCACCCCUUGUCAGCUUGGGCUCUCCAAAGCCCGCAGGCCAGAAAGGCUAGUCGCCAAAACAGCAAAGGUGGGGGCCUGUCCCUCUCUCCGGGAGCUCUGUCCCAGGAACAUUUCACAUUUCCAUUGGCCAAGGAAUGCUGGUGGGGGUAGCUGGAGGCCCCAGUUGGGAGGUCCUGUCCAGUGAGGUGGAACAGGAUCAGAGGCCUGCUUACAGAAGCAGUCUGGCCAUGAUUUGGUAAAGCAGCUAUGCUGUGCUGUGGGAUCUCUUCUGUCCCUCGUCGGUUUGUAUUCUCCAAAGCCCGCAGGCUGGAAUGACUAAGUUGCCUGAACGGGAAAGAUGGCAGCCUGCCCCGUCUUUUCUCUCAGAGUUUUAUCUUGUUUCAUGGAGCUUAAUUUUUAGCCUGUUGAUUUUACUGUCUUCAUUAGACUUGUUGAGAAGGAAUCUGUUAUAUUUUAGGUGAGAUAAAUGAGAAUUCAUUGUCUUCUGUAAAUAAACCUGCUCAUGUCUUGUUCUCUGGAAAGAAGUCUCUUUCAGCUAUCUGACUUUGGUCACAAUCAUGUAGAGCAGUAGCCAGUCUACAAUGACGUAAUUGAAUUUCCAUUUCCAGUGUUUCCUCGUUGUGUCUUACACUGUCCAGUUCAGAACUGAGCAUUUUAUUCUCAGUUGUCAACAUGCUAAGCUGUCCACUGUACUGAAAUACUGUGCUUCCUCAUUCAAUUUUUUUUAAGGUGUGCACUUUUAUCCAACUCUCCUCAAGUCAGAGUACAGGUAAGCCCUGGCUGCCUCCAGCCACUCUCAGAGAGACCAAAAGCCUUCAUAUACCCCAAGUUGAGGUACAAAAAAGGGGGGCCAUGAAGGCUGAUCAUUCAAAAUAAAACAAGUUAAAAAGUAUUAAGGCGAAGAUUCAAAAAAUUUUGCAUUACGUAAUCUGCACGAAAGCAAUGCUAUCACCUCCCCUGUGUGAACUAGGGAGAGGACUGGGCCAUUCUCCUUAGAGAGAAGUGGGGUGGCUUUUAGCAGGGCAAGGGGCUUCCUGAAACAAUGCGUCUCACAAUAUUUGGAAUGACUAUUGAAAAGAAGAACAAUGUACAAUCAAAGUCCUUGGCCACAUUGUAGAACUUUGGGGGAAGCUCGCUCCAACCGACUACUAUCACCUUCGCCGUUCCGGUUUUCAAAUCCUGAGUCAAGCCAAUAAAAAACAAAACAAAAAAUGAAACAAGAAAACAAAUAAAGCCACGCCAAUCUCAUGUUGUUUUCUG